AUCUGAAGUACAUGCAGUCCACACUGUGCAGUCAUGAGGCGGGCACAGUUGCCAUGACAACCCAUAUGAGGAACGGGGUAGCUGAGGAGGUGGAACGUUUCGCCCAGCUGCCGCUGCAUCUGUUACGCCUCGCCUCAUUGGACAGAAUCUGAAGUACAUGCAGUCCACACUGUGCAGUCAUGAGGCGGGCACAGUUGCCAUGGCAACCCACAUGAGGAAUGGGGUAGCUGAGGAGGUGGAACGUUUCGCCCAGCUGCCGCUGCAUCUGUUACGCCUCACUUCAUUGGGCAGGCUCCAGAGAAUCUACUGCCGUGCGACGUCCAGCUGAAAUGUGAAAUAGCAGCGGUGCAGACGUUACUAGACUCACAGCAUCUACUCCAUGCUUCCAUGGCAGAGACCCACACCGAUGACCUGACCGCCAUCCAGCAUGUAUCAGGUGGGAGCAGCCAGCACAGCUUCUCACUCCUUGGGUCAAGCUGGACGACCUCGCACUGCAACAGUGGCUGGAUAAAUGGACGGUGGCCGUGACUAGACUGAGGCAGUUGGGUGUCUAGUCGCUUCAUGUCGGCACCGGACUGUCAAUACCAGAAUGUGGUUGUUUGCGUGAACGUGGAACCAGACUACGGCUUUUUCCAAACUAGGAUUUUUGCGGAUAUGGCUUUGGCAAGCUACAUACAUGUACAUGUAAAUGAGACAUGUAGGUUUGCAUGGCGGACAUGAACAAAGAACAGAAGGUUUUUUGUAACACCAUGUGAAUAAUAUCACUUUUGACUUGAACCAGUUGUUUAACUGAUAGUUUCAAACAGUGUGCUCUGCUUGAUGUCUCAUGAUGAUGAUACCCAAGAACUACCCAUAUAGGCGAGCGGCGGAAUCCACAUUUUGGUCGACUUAAUUGCCCCCCCACCCUACACACACCUACAUCAUACAUCGUUAGAAGCUUAAUAUUUUUACUUUCAGAUUAGGCAUGAUGUGGAGCUGCUUAAGUGGGAGGAAUGUGUUAUUGGCUCAUUUUGGUCUAAAAGUCAAAUUUUUGGUCAAAAAUAUGAUUUUACAAAUUUGGUAUUAAGUUUUAAACCAAAUUGACGUUCCAUAAAUUCACAGUUACCAAAUUAAUAUUACUAAAUGUACAGUAACCAUUUGCAAUAUUGAGUGAAAAUGUGUAUAUUUCUCAAAAUUGUGCUUCGAAGAGCAACACUAAGGUAAAAUAUUUGGUUUUUGUCAAUUGCCCAACACCACACACACCUACAUCAUACAUCAUUAAUAUGUCUACUUUAAGACUAGGCAAAAGUCUCCUUUUUGCUCAUCGCGGUGUAGAGGAUGCUUUAAUGACAUUACUACACAGAAUAUAUUGUAGCACAAUGCAUUUUAUAGAGGGCGCGCUUUAGUUCUUUACUGGUAGCCAGCAAGGUGCGCGUGCACUCACCCAGGUUUAUGGGGACAUUGGCCAAUAGGCUAGUCUGGUUCCCAGACCAAAAGAU